rnacentral:tRNA from 1 species
GCUUGGUAGGGUCAAGCUGGGGGAUAAAUGGACGUCGCCCUCUCACGGCGAAAACAGGGGUUCGAUUCCCCUUGGGAGCGCCA